rnacentral:lncRNA from 1 species
GACAUUUAAUUGAAACUUUGAUAAAAUAGUCAUAGAUUUGCAUGCAGUUGUAAGAAAUAAUAGAGAGAUCAUGCAUACACCUUCCUCAGUUUCCCCCAAUGGUACCAUUUGUCAAACAAUAGAACAACCAGAAUAUCAACAUUGAUGCAAUCUGUGGAUCUUAUUCAGAUUCUCCCAGUUUUACUUGCACUCUUGAGUGUGUGUGUGUGUGUGUGUAUUUAACUCGAAAUAACUUUAUCACAGUCAACAUACUAAAUGGUUCCGUCACUACAAGGACACCUCUCUUGAUUUUCUUUUGUGUUUUGACUAUGGAAGAUAAUUUACAUGAUUCAAAAGUAAGAACUGUAUAUUAAGGUAUAAUCAGAAAAGUCUGGCUUCCAUCCAUAUCUUCUUAACUCCGCUUCACCCCUUUCAUUAUUGAUAAUUUUUUAAAACUUAGUUUUUACUUUAUUCUUCCACUGUUUCUUUUUCAAAAUGUAAGCAAAUACAUAUAUCUGCUCAUAUUCCUCUCCCUUCUUUCAAAUAAGGAAGCAUAGAAAUAUAGGUUUCCUGGCACUUGCCUUUUUUACUUAAUAGUUGUUUCUGUCAAGAUAGGCUAGGGUCUGCCUAUGCUAAAACCACUGAAAUCUCAGUGGUUUGAGACAAAACAAGUCCAUUUCUCAUCUCACAGUCCAUGCCCCUCUCUGGGCAGUGGGGUCUCUGCUGGGCCAUUGUCCUUCUCCCUCUGGCCUGGGCUGAGGGAGCAGCUAUGCCUGGUGAUUGCCAGUCACAGUGGCAGAGGGAAGAACAUGGCAGAGCCGGCCCUGGCUUUCAAGGGACUCACCACGCUGCUGCUCACAUUUCAUUAGCUGUAGAAAGUAUCAUGGCUGUAGCGAACUUCACGUGGGCAAGGAAGUUCAAUUUUAUUGCGUGGUUGGGAGAAGAGAGAGCCAACACAUCUGUAAACAGCCAUAACAACUAUCACAGCCCACUUUUCUUGGCACUAAAUGUUUGACUCAAAUUCUUUCCUGCGUACAAAAUGCACUCAUGUAACCUGAGGAUGCUAACCCAUUCCUGGUGUUAGUCUCCCAGUCCAGACUCUGGAUCAUGGGUGCUAGCCCUCACACCAGAGGGGCGGGUGUGUGUCUCUACAUUAGAUCUAGAUGUGGCAUUUCUUGUUUCAUUUAUAUUUCACUUUAUUUUAAAUUUUUUGUUGAAGUGUAACAAAACAUUUCUCGCACCCCAGAAGAUUUCUUUGUGCCCCUUCCCGGGAAUAACCCCACCAGAGAGAUAGCUGCUGUUCUAUGCUAUAGAUUAGCUUGCCUGUUCGGAACUUCAUAGAAGUAAAAUCAUAAAGUAUACAACCUUUUAUGUUUGGCUUCUUUCACUACCUCAUACCUGUGAGAUUCACCCACGUUAUUAUGUAGUAGGGGUUCAUUCCUGUACACUGUUGAGUACUAUUCUACUGUAUAAAUACCACAAUUUGUUUAUGCAUUCUACUAUUGAUGGGC